GACGAACGCUGGCGGCGUGCUUAACACAUGCAAGUCGAACGAUGAAGCCGGAGCUUGCUCUGGUGAAUUAGUGGCGAACGGGUGAGUAACACGUGAGUAACCUGCCCUUGACUCUGGGAUAACUGCGGGAAACUGUAGCUAAUACCGGAUACGACCCUCGGAGGCAUCUCCUGGGGGUGGAAAGAAUUUUGGUCAAGGAUGGACUCGCGGCCUAUCAGCUAGUUGGUGAGGUAAAGGCUCACCAAGGCGACGACGGGUAGCCGGCCUGAGAGGGUGACCGGCCACACUGGGACUGAGACACGGCCCAGACUCCUACGGGAGGCAGCAGUGCGGAAUAUUGCACAAUGGGCGCAAGCCUGAUGCAGCAACGCCGCGUGAGGGAUGACGGCAUUCGGGUUGUAAACCUCUUUUAGCAGGGAAGAAGCGAAAGUGACGGUACCUGCAGAAAAAGCACCGGCUAACUACGUGUCAGCAGCCGCCGUAA
rnacentral:rRNA from 1 species